GCAAAAAUAGCUCAAUGGUAGAGUAUAACCUUGC
rnacentral:tRNA from 1 species